GAAAGAAGGAAGAAAAGGGAUAUUUUCAUUUUAUUUCAGAAUAUAAUGAAAUUGUUAAAACAGUUUCAAUGCAAGAUCACAAGUGAAUCUUGUGUAGCAAAAUGAGAAGUUUAAGAGGCCUACAAGCAUCUAAAUUACUAAACAAAUUGUGCUGUCCAUAUGUCUUGUCAUCUCAUUGGUCAAAGUAGAUGCACAAAGAUCUUAUAAAAUGAUCGCAGGAAUAAAAGAAAAAAUUUAAAACAAAAAAAGAGUUACUCCACAUAUGAAGUGGUGCAUUCUAUAGAAU
rnacentral:misc_RNA from 1 species